ACCAAUUCUAGCCCUAACAACAAUAAACAUAACUAAAUAACAAGAUAAAUUAAAACAUUUAGUAAAUUAAAAAGUAUUGGAGAAAGAACUUUACCUUUUAGGAGCUAUAGAGAAAGUACCGCAAGGGAAAGAUGAAAGACAAAGUCAAAGUAAAAAUAAGCAAAGAUAAAACCUUGUACCUUUUGCAUAAUGAAUUAACUAGAAAAAACUCAACCAAAAGAAUUUAAGCUGAGAACCCCGAAACCAAACGAGCUACCUAAAAACAAUUUUAUGAAUCAACCCGUCUAUGUAGCAGAAUAGUGGGAGGAUUUUUAGGUAGAGGUGAAAAGCCUAACGAGCUUGGUGAUAGCUGGUUACCCAAAAAAGAACUUCAGUUCAACUUUAAGUUUACUAUACGAAUAGACUAAUCAAAAUGUAAAUUUAAAAUAUAGCCUAAAGAGGGACAGCUCUUCAGGAUAAAGGAAAAAACCUUAAAUAGUGAAUAAACAACUUUAAUUUACUAACCAUUGUAGGCCUAGAAGCAGCCACCAAUAAAGAAAGCGUUCAAGCUCAACAUUAAAAAAAUCUUAAUUCCAUAAAUAUUAAUAACUUCCUAUUCUACAAAUUGGGUCAAUCUAUUACUCUAUAGAUGAGAUACUGUUAAUAUGAGUAACAAGAAUAACAUUCUCCUGGCAUAAGUGUAUGACAACUCGGAUAACCAUUGUCAAUUACCGAAUCAUAGGCAUGAACCCACCAAUAGAGCCUGCCUAACACUAAUUCGUUAGUCCAACACAGGAAUGCCAUAAGGAAAGAUUAAAAGAAGUAAAAGGAACUCGGCAAACAUGAGCCUCGCCUGUUUACCAAAAACAUCACCUCUAGCAUAGCAAGUAUUAGAGGCACUGCCUGCCCAGUGACUUAAGUUAAACGGCCGCGGUAUCCUGACCGUGCAAAGGUAGCAUAAUCACUUGUUCCUUAAUUAGGGACUAGAAUGAACGGCUAAACGAGGGCUCGACUGUCUCUUACUUCCAAUCAGUGAAAUUGACCUUCCAGUGAAGAGGCUGGAAUAUUACAAUAAGACGAGAAGACCCUAUGGAGCUUUAAUUUACUAGUUUAAUUUAAACCUCAAAACGACCCAAUGGUCCUAAACAAUAAAAUAAUGAACUAAAAAAUUUCGGUUGGGGUGACCUCGGAGUAUAAAAAACCCUCCGAAUGAUUCUAACUUAGACUAACAAGUCAAAGUAACAUCAGUAUCUUAUUGACCCAAUUAUUGAUCAACGGACCAAGUUACCCUAGGGAUAACAGCGCAAUCCUAUUUAAGAGUCCAUAUCGACAAUAGGGUUUACGACCUCGAUGUUGGAUCAGGACAUCCCAAUGGUGCAGAAGCUAUUAAUGGUUCGUUUGUUCAACGAUUAAAGUCCUACGUGAUCUGAGUUCAGACCGGAGCAAUCCAGGUCGGUUUCUAUCUAUUUACAAUUUCUCCCAGUACGAAAGGACAAGAGAAAUGGAGCCACCUUAUUAAAAGUGCCCCUAACCCAACUUAUGAAAAAAAUCUUAACAAAGUAAAUAUGUACAACAAACAGACCUAGAUCAGGUC
rnacentral:rRNA from 1 species